UACAGAGGUCCCGAGCGUUGUUCGGAUUCACUGGGCGUAAAGGGUGCGUAGGUGGCAUGGAAAGUUUGAUGUGAAAGCUCAGGGCUUAACCCUGAAAUGGCAUUGAAUACUGCCGUGCUGGAGGUUUGGAGGGGGGAACUGGAAUUCUUGGUGUAGCAGUGAAAUGCGUAGAUAAUCAAGAGGAACACCAGUGGCGAAGGCGCCUUGCUGGCCAAUUUCUGACGCUGAGGCGCGGAAAAGCGUGGGGGAGCGAACGGG
rnacentral:rRNA from 1 species